rnacentral:rRNA from 1 species
GACGAACGCUGGCGGCGUGCUUAACACAUGCAAGUCGAACGGAAAGGCCUCUUUCGGGGGGUACUCGAGUGGCGAACGGGUGAGUAACACGUGAGUAACCUGCCCUUGAUUUUGGGAUAACUUCAGGAAACUGGGGCUAAUACCGGAUAGGAGCUCCUGCUGCAUGGUGGGGGUUGGAAAGUUUCGGCGGUUGGGGAUGGACUCGCGGCUUAUCAGCUUGUUGGUGGGGUAGUGGCUUACCAAGGCUUUGACGGGUAGCCGGCCUGAGAGGGUGACCGGCCACAUUGGGACUGAGAUACGGCCCAGACUCCUACGGGAGGCAGCAGUGGGGAAUAUUGCACAAUGGGUGGAAGCCUGAUGCAGCAACGCCGUGUGCGGGAUGACGGCCUUCGGGUUGUAAACCGCUUUCGCUCAUGACGAAGCUUUGUGUGACGGUAGUGGGUAAAGAAGCACCGGCUAACUACGUG